rnacentral:rRNA from 1 species
UAUGGUAUUUGCCAGCAGCCGCGGUAAUACGUAGGUCCCGAGCGUUGUCCGGAUUUAUUGGGCGUAAAGCGAGCGCAGGCGGUUUGAUAAGUCUGAAGUUAAAGGCUGUGGCUCAACCAUAGUUCGCUUUGGAAACUGUCAAACUUGAGUGCAGAAGGGGAGAGUGGAAUUCCAUGUGUAGCGGUGAAAUGCGUAGAUAUAUGGAGGAACACCGGUGGCGAAAGCGGCUCUCUGGUCUGUAACUGACGCUGAGGCUCGAAAGCGUGGGGAGCGAACAGG